GAUAGUGGACGUUACUCGCAGAAUAAGCACCGGCUAACUCUGUGCCAGCAGCCGCGGUAAUACAGAGGGUGCGAGCGUUAAUCGGAUUUACUGGGCGUAAAGCGUGCGUAGGCGGCUUAUUAAGUCGGAUGUGAAAUCCCCGAGCUUAACUUGGGAAUUGCAUUCGAUACUGGUGAGCUAGAGUAUGGGAGAGGAUGGUAGAAUUCCAGGUGUAGCGGUGAAAUGCGUAGAGAUCUGGAGGAAUACCGAUGGCGAAGGCAGCCAUCUGGCCUAAUACUGACGCUGAGGUACGAAAGCAUGGGGAGCAAACAGGAUUAGAUACCCUGGUAGUCCAUGCCGUAAACGAUGUCUACUAGCCGUUGGGGCCUUUGAGGCUUUAGUGGCGCAGCUAACGCGAUAAGUAGACCGCCUGGGGAGUACGGUCGCAAGACUAAAACUCAAAUGAAUUGACGGGGGCCCGCACAAGCGGUGGAGCAUGUGGUUUAAUUCGAUGCAACGCGAAGAACCUUACCUGGCCUUGACAUACUAGAAACUUUCCAGAGAUGGAUUGGUGCCUUCGGGAAUCUAGAUACAGGUGCUGCAUGGCUGUCGUCAGAUCGUGUCGUGAGAUGUUGGGUUAAGUCCCGCAACGAGCGCAACCCUUUUCCUUACUUGCCAGCAUUUCGGAUGGGAACUUUAAGGAUACUGCCAGUGACAAACUGGAGGAAGGCGGGGACGACGUCAAGUCAUCAUGGCCCUUACGGCCAGGGCUACACACGUGCUACAAUGGUCGGUACAAAGGGUUGCUACACAGCGAUGUGAUGCUAAUCUCAAAAAGCCGAUCGUAGUCCGGAUUGGAGUCUGCAACUCGACUCCAUGAAGUCGGAAUCGCUAGUAAUCGCGGAUCAGAAUGCCGCGGUGAAUACGUUCCCGGGCCUUGUACACACCGCCCGUCACACCAUGGGAGUUUGUUGCACCAGAAGUAGCUAGCCUAACUGCAAAGAGGGCGGUUACCACGGUGUGGCCGAUGACUGGGGUGAAGUCGUAACAAGGUAGCCGUAGGGGAACCUGCGGCUGGAUCACCU
rnacentral:rRNA from 1 species